AAUCGUUGCGCGGCGUGCCUAACACAUGCAAGUCGAACGCUAAAGGGGAGCAAUCCCUGAGUAGAGUGGCAAACGGGUGAGUAACACGUGGGUGACCUGCCUUCGAGUGGGGGAUAACGUUCCGAAAGGAACGCUAAUACCGCAUGACAUCCUGCUUUUGGAGAAGCGGAGAUCAAAGCUGGGGAUUCGCAAGAACCUAGCGCUUGAAGAGGGGCCCGCGCCUGAUUAGCUAGUUGGUGGGGUAACGGCUCACCAAGGCUUCGAUCAGUAUCCGGCCUGAGAGGGCGGACGGACACACUGGGACUGAGACACGGCCCAGACUCCUACGGGAGGCAGCAGUGGGGAAUUGUUCGCAAUGGGCGCAAGCCUGACGACGCAACGCCGCGUGGAGGAUGAAGAUUUUCGGAUCGUAAACUCCUGUCGAGUGGGAAGAAUAGCUUCCGGGCGAAUAUCCCGGAAGUCUGACGGUACCACUAAAGGAAGCCCCGGCUAACUCCGUGCCAGCAGCCGCGGUAAUACGGGGGGGGCAAGCGUUGUUCGGAAUUACUGGGCGUAAAGGGCUCGUAGGCGGCCAACUAAGUCAGAUGUGAAAUCCCCAGGCUCACCCUGGGAACUGCAUCUGAUACUGGU
rnacentral:rRNA from 1 species